GCUGGGUGCAGUGUCGCACACCUGUAGUCCUAGCUACUCAGGAGGCUGAAGCAGGAGGAUUGCUUGAGUCCAGGAGUUCUGGGCUGCAGUGUGCUAUGCCAAUCAGGUGUCUGCACUAAGUUUGGCAUCAAUAUGGUGACCUCCCGGGAGCGGGGAACCACGAGGUUGCCUAAGAAAGGGUGAACGGGACCAGGUAGGAAACACAAGAGACUGUGAAUAGACAAAGCAAUACUCAGCAAAAAGAGCAAUGCUGGAGGUAUCACAGUACCCUACUUCA
rnacentral:SRP_RNA from 1 species